UACGGAGGGUGCGAGCGUUGUCCGGAAUCAUUGGGCGUAAAGGGCGCGUAGGUGGCCUGCUAAGCGUGCGGUGAAAGUCGGGGGCUCAACCCCCGAUCGGCCGUGCGAACUGGGAGGCUUGAGCACUGUAGAGGCAGGCGGAAUUCCGGGUGUAGCGGUGGAAUGCGUAGAGAUCCGGAAGAACACCGGUGGCGAAGGCGGCCUGCUGGGCAGUUUUGCUGACACUGAGGCGCGGACAGCGUGGGGAGCAAACAGG
rnacentral:rRNA from 1 species